rnacentral:rRNA from 1 species
CAGCAGCCGCGGUAAUACGUAGGUGGCAAGCGUUGUCCGGAAUUAUUGGGCGUAAAGCGCGCGCAGGCGGUCCUUUAAGUCUGAUGUGAAAUCUUGCGGCUCAACCGCAAGCGGCCAUUGGAAACUGGGGGACUUGAGUGCAGGAGAGGGAAGUGGAAUUCCACGUGUAGCGGUGAAAUGCGUAGAGAUGUGGAGGAACACCAGUGGCGAAGGCGGCUUCCUGGCCUGUAACUGACGCUGAGGCGCGAAAGCGUGGGGAGCAAACAGGAUUAGAUACCCUGGUAGUCCACGCCGUAAACGAUGAGUGCUAAGUGUUAGGGGGUUUCCGCCCCUUAGUGCUGCAGCUAACGCAUUAAGCACUCCGCCUGGGGAGUACGGCCGCAAGGCUGAAACUUAAAGGAAUUGGCGGG